rnacentral:lncRNA from 1 species
CCCUCCACCAUGGUCUGUCCAUCAGUCUCAGCUUAGCGUUAGAACCAAAAGCCAAACUUGCUCUUCACUUUUGGCUUUUGAAGAUUUACAUAAGAAUCCAUUUAUAUAUUUAUCUUUUAUAUAUGGUUGAAUGGUAGUUUAGUUUUGGCGUUUCCCUAGUCUAUAUAGCACUCGAGCUCUGGUUCUUUGUUUAGGGUUUGGUGGUAAACCCAGGUUUUAUAGGGUUUCUUACAAGGUUUUGAUCUGUUUUACUUUUUUUUUCUUGAUCUUCUUCAAUCUAACGUACUGGUGUUAGGGUUUUAGCUAGGGUUAUGGAGUGGAGCUCCUUGAAGUCCAAUAGAAGAUGUUACUGGGUUGAUUGAGCUGCUGAGCUAUGAAUCCCACACUUCUAUCUCUAUUUUGGUAAAGAUGAUAGGCUUGUGGCUUCCAUAUCUCGGGAGCUGCAUUACCUGAGUUGCAUCAUGUUUUGGAUUGAAGGGAGCUCUACACCAUAGCUUA